rnacentral:rRNA from 1 species
AUGCCGACGACCCCAGAGGGCGGCCCCGCCGCGCGCGUGGAGCUGGAGCUCCCGCUCGGCGCGGCGCCGUUCGACCUGGAGGCGGCCGUGUGCAGCCACGGGCUGUUCAUGAUGGCGCCCAACCGCUGGGACCCGGCCUCCCGCGCGCUCCUCCGCCCGCUCCGCCUCGCCUCCGACCGCUCCAGGUCCCUGCUCGCCCGCGUCUCCCGCCACCCCGCGCGCCCCUCCCGCGCCCUCCUCGUCUCCGUCCUCGGCGCCGACGCUCUCUCCCCGCUCGACCAGGACUGCAUCCUCGAGCAAGUGCGGCGGAUGCUGCGGCUGUCGGAGGAGGACGGCAGGGUGGUGGCGGAGUUCCAGGCGAUGCACGCCGCCGCGAGGGAGGCGGGGUUCGGCCGCAUCUUCCGCUCCCCCACCCUGUUCGAGGACAUGGUCAAGUGCAUCCUCCUCUGCAAUUGCCAAUGGACAAGAACAUUGUCGAUGGCCACUGCGCUGUGCGAGCUUCAGUUGGAGCUGAAAUGUUCAGCUGGUACUGAAGAUCUUCAGUUAAGGACACCUCCAAUCAGGGAGCAUAAAAGGAAGCGCAGCAAGAAUCAGAACGUCCGUGUCAAGCUAGAAAAAAAGUUUACCGAGUUGGAGUGCUUGGAGGAUCCAAGAGUAGAAACUGCGCAGGAUACAAGAGUGGCAACUGGUACUAGCGAUGUCAUAACACAUUUGGAAGCAGAUGAAAAAUUGGCUAGCUUGCCUCAAGUUGCGCCUGAAACAGGCAGUGUAUGUCAGUCAUUUGAUUCUUCAGAGCUCAGCUUGGAAGGUUGCAUUGGAGAUUUCCCUACUCCAGAAGAAUUGGCGAAUCUUGAUGAAGACUUCUUAGCGAAGCGCUGUGGCCUUGGAUAUCGAGCGGAGCGGAUUGUAUUGCUUGCACGCAGCAUUGUGGAAGGAAAGGUAUGCCCACAAAAUCUUGAAGAAAUGCAGAAAAUGUCUUUACCAGCUACAGAAGAGCUAUCUACUAUCCCGUCUACCUAUGAAAGACUGAAUAACGAGUUAACCACUAUCUCCGGAUUCGGCCCUUUCACUCGUGCCAAUGUGCUCAUGUGCAUGGGAUUUUUCCACAUGAUCCCAGCUGAUACUGAGACAAUUAGGCAUUUAAAGCAGUGUCAUGAAAUUGCAAGCACCAUCAAAUCUGUUCAUAUGGAAUUGGAUAAAAUCUACGGCGAGUAUGCUCCAUUUCAGUUCUUAGCAUACUGGUUCGAGCUAUGGGGCUUCUAUGACAAGCAAUUUGGGAAGAUCACUGAGAUGGAUCCGUCCACAUAUAGGCUAUUUACUGCAAGCGCUUUAAAGAAGCAACAUCGGUUAGAUAGGAAAUAG